AGAGUUUGAUCCUGGCUCAGGACGAACGCUGGCGGCGUGCUUAACACAUGCAAGUCGACGACGCUACUAGGUAGCAAUAUUUAGUAGUGGAGUGGCGUAAGGGUGAGUAAAAUAUACGUAACCAACCCAUAGGAGACGGAUAACACUUCGAAAGGGGUGCUAAAACGGCAUGAUGCCUGUAUAUCGCAUGAUGUAUAGGUUAAAGAGUCGGUAACAGACUGCCUAUGGAUGGGCGUGUAUCCGAUUAGCUAGUUGGUGGGGUAACGGCCUACCAAGGCGACGAUCGGUAGCUGGUCCGAGAGGAUGAUCAGCCACACUGGCACUGAGACACGGGCCAGACUCCUACGGGAGGCAGCAGUGGGGAAUAUUGGGCAAUGCCCGGAAGGGUGACCCAGCAACGCCGCGUGGAGGAAGAAGGCCGUAAGGUUGUAAACUCCGGCAAGCAGGGAAGAAAGGCUACAAUAAAAGGUUGUAGUUUGACGGUACCUGCCUGAAGCCCCGGCUAACUACGUGCCAGCAGCCGCGGUAAUACGUAGGGGGCGAGCGUUGUCCGGAUUUACUGGGUGUAAAGGGCGUGUAGGCGGGAUGCCAAGUCAGUGGUAAAAUCUCGAUGCUUAACAUCGAAUGUGCUAUUGAUACUGGUAUUCUAGAGUUCAGGAGGGAGAGCUGGAAUUCCUGGUGUAGUGGUGAAAUACGCAGAUAUCAGGAGGAAUACCGGAGGCGAAGGCGAGCUCUUGGCCUGUAACUGACGCUGAGGCGCGAAAGCGUGGGGAUCAAACAGGAUUAGAUACCCUGGUAGUCCACGCUGUAAACGAUGAUGACUCGAUGUCGGCACGUAAGUGUCGGUGUCUAAGCUAACGCGAUAAGUCAUCCACCUGGGGAGUACGAUCGCAAGGUUGAAACUCAAAGGAAUUGACGGGGGCCCGCACAAGCAGUGGAGCAUGUGGUUUAAUUCGAUGCAACGCGAAGAACCUUACCUGGGCUUGAAAUCAUAGUGCUGUUGGAUGAAAGUCCAAUUUCCUUCGGGACACUAUGACAGGUGCUGCAUGGCUGUCGUCAGCUCGUGCCGUGAGGUGUUGGGUUAAGUCUCGCAACGAGCGCAACCCCUACCGUUAGUUGCUACCGGGUAAAGCUGGGCACUCUAGCGGAACUGCCUGCGCAGGCAGAGAGGAAGGUGGGGAUGACGUCAAGUCCGCAUGGCCCUUAUGUCCAGGGCUACACACGUGCUACAAUGGUGAAGAACAGCGAGUUCCGAAGCCGCGAGGCGGGGGUAAUCUCUGAAAUUUCACCUCAGUUCAGAUUGGAGUCUGCAACUCGACUCCAUGAAGCUGGAAUUGCUAGUAAUCGCGCAUCAGCAUGGCGCGGUGAAUACGUUCCCGGGCCUUGUACACACCGCCCGUCAAGCCAUGGGAGCCGGGGGUACCCGAAGUCGGUAGGCUAACCGUAAGGAGGCCGCCGCCUAAGGUAAAACUGGUGACUGGGGCUAAGUCGUAACAAGGUAGCCGU
rnacentral:rRNA from 1 species